rnacentral:rRNA from 1 species
AUUGAACGCUGGCGGCAUGCCUUACACAUGCAAGUCGAACGGUAACAGGUCUUCGGAUGCUGACGAGUGGCGAACGGGUGAGUAAUACAUCGGAACGUGCCUAGUAGUGGGGGAUAACUACUCGAAAGAGUGGCUAAUACCGCAUGAGAUCUACGGAUGAAAGCAGGGGCUCGCAAGACCUGGUGCUACUAGCGCGGCCGAUGGCAGAUUAGGUAGUUGGUGGGAUAAAAGCUUACCAAGCCGACGAUCUGCAGCUGGUCUGAGAGGACGAUCAGCCACACUGGGACUGAGACACGGCCCAGACUCCUACGGGAGGCAGCAGUGGGGAAUUUUGGACAAUGGGCGAAAGCCUGAUCCAGCAAUGCCGCGUGCAGGAUGAAGGCCUUCGGGUUGUAAACUGCUUUUGUACGGAACGAAAAGCCCCGGGUUAAUACCCUGGGGUCAUGACGGUACCGUAAGAAUAAGCACCGGCUAACUACGUGCCAGCCGCCGCCGUAA